rnacentral:rRNA from 1 species
AUUGAACGCUGGCGGCAUGCCUAACACAUGCAAGUCGAGCGGCAGCGGGAAAGUAGCUUGCUACUUUUGCCGGCGAGCGGCGGACGGGUGAGUAAUGCCUGGGAAAUUGCCCAGUCGAGGGGGAUAACAGUUGGAAACGACUGCUAAUACCGCAUACGCCCUACGGGGGAAAGCAGGGGACCUUCGGGCCUUGCGCGAUUGGAUAUGCCCCGGUGGGAAUAGCUAGUUGGUGAGGUAAUGGCGCACCAAGGCGACGAUCCCUAGCUGGGCUGAGAGGACGGUCAGCCACACUGGAACGGAGACACGGUCCAGAGUCCGACGGGAGGCGGCAGUGGGGAAUAUUGCACAAUGGGGGAAACCCUGAUGCAGCAAUGCCGCGUGCGUGAAGAAGGCCUUCGGGUUGUAAAGCACUUUCAGCGAGGAGGAAAGGUUGAUGCCUAAUACGUAUCAACUGUGACGUUACUCGCAGAAGAAGCACCGGCUAACUCCGUGCCAGCAGCCGCAGUAAGAC